rnacentral:misc_RNA from 1 species
AGCAGCCGCGGUAAUUCCAGCUCCAAUAGCGUAUAUUAAAGUUGCUGCAGUUAAAAAGCUCGUAGUUGAAUUUCGGGACUAAUAUGUCGGUCGUGCCUCGGUACGUACUGGCUUAUUGGUUUCUCCUUUCUGAAGAACCAUGAUGUCAUUUAUUUGGUGUCGUGGGGAAUCAGGACUGUUACUUUGAAAAAUUAGAGUGUUUAAAGCAGGCUUUAGCUUGAAUACAUUAGCAUGGAAUAAUGAAAUAGGACGUUCGAACCUAUUUUGUUGGUUUCUAGGAUCAACGUAAUGAUUAAUAGGGAUAGUUGGGGGCAUUAGUAUUCAAUUGUCAGAGGUGAAAUUCUUGGAUUUAUUGAAGACUAACUACUGCGAAAGCAUUUGCCAAGGAUGUUUUCAUUAAUCAAGAACGAAAGUUAGGGGAUCGAAGACGAUCAGAUACCGUCGUAGUCUUAACCAUAAACUAUGCCGACUAGGGAUCGGAUGAUGUUAAUUUUUUAAUGUACUCAUUCGGCGCCUUACG